GAUGAAGAACGUAGCGAAAUGCGAUAAGUAAUGUGAAUUGCAGAAUUCAGUGAAUCAUCGAAUCUUUGAACGCACAUUGCGCCCGCCAGUAUUCUGGCGGGCAUGCCUGUUCGAGCGUCAUUUCAACCCUCAAGCCCCCGGGCUUGGUGUUGGGGAUCGGCGUGCCCUCGCGGCGCGCCGUCCCCUAAAUCUAGUGGCGGUCUCGCUGUAGCUUCCUCUGCGUAGUAGCAACACUCGCACUGGAUCGCAGCGCGGCCACGCCGUUAAACCCCCCACUUCUGAAAGUUUGACCUCGUAUCAGGUAGGAAUACCCGCUGAACUUAAGCAUAUCAAUAAGCGGAGGA
rnacentral:misc_RNA from 1 species